AUUUAAAUAGCUUAAAUUAGAGCAUAGUAUUGAAGUUACUAGGGUGAUUAAAAAAUCUUUAAAUA
rnacentral:tRNA from 1 species